rnacentral:lncRNA from 1 species
GAAGUUGAAUUUGUCGAUGGAUCACUUUUAAAAUUGAAAAGUUAUAUUGAAGUGUAUUUGGAGCAACCCAUGGAAUUUAAAUUACUUUUGGUUGAAAAGGAUUCUGAGGAGAUUGUAUGGAAAGCAAAGCUGAGAGAGUGUGAGUGUUUUGUCUCUUGAAUUAAAACUCUGGUUUCGGGGGAGGAAGCAGACAAUGUUACUUCUUAAUCACAACAAAUGCCACAGUACUAAAGGUAUUUAACAUGUAGUGACCUGAAUAACAGGUGUUCUUCUAGACCAAAUCUCUUGGUAGUUUUAAAGAUCACUUUUUAAAGACCACUCACUCUGUGUUUAAACUCAUUUGAUGAUAUUCGGCAUUGUAAGAGAAUGCUGGUUUACAUUAUUUUGGGGGCUUAAACCUAAUGAUUAACCGAAGUUGCCCAUAACCCAUUAAGGCAUCUUCACUAAAGGGACCAACAGAAGCCCUGCCUAAGGCAUAGGCACCUGUUAGAGCAGGGACUGAAUGUCACAGGGCGAAUCACAAUGAAGUGUCCAGAAAGAACCCCCCAGCGCAGAAUGAAAAUACGUAUAUGAAAUUGUUUUGUGUGGAGUAUAUGUAAGUUCACUUAAAAUUGAAAGAUGUUUAUUUUUAUGGCUUCCUUCUCCAUAUGGCAUGUGAUGCCAGUGUUCUAUCUACAUAGUUAUAGAUUUAAAGAAAUACAGAGCAAAUGAUAUUUCACCUGGCAUAUGGGUUUGGCAUAUAUAUGGUAUGCAGAUGACUGAUGUUUGGCAAACACUUGUCCCACAAGAUGUUUUGGAAGGAGUACUUUUUUAUUUAUCCUGAAAGGUCAAGCUGAGUGUAUUGCAUACAUACUAAGUUAAAACUCAAGACUCGUAUUCGAACUUCAGAAGAUUGCCAGGAACCCAGUGCUUUCACAGAUCUAUUGCCUUAAUUCCAAUUUUAGAUCACCUUUCCAAUUGCUACUUAUUGUACUUUAACAGGUGACUGGGUUCAGCAUGAUCAGAAUCAAAACGUUUCAAAAAGCAACACAAGUGGUAACAGGCGACGAAAAAUGAGUAGCAGCUUACCUGAUGAAGUGGUCUAUGAUAAAAGAAUGAAGCAGUUUGACACUUCAGGUUUGUAAAAAUGUUGUCCAUGGCUCUCAGUCAUUUUCCCUGUCUCCCCUAUUGACAUUCAACCAACACGGGUGCUUUUGGGGUCAGUCUUCCUGGAGCUACAUCCCAGGUAUUCCUUCCCUCCCAGAUAAGGUCCCUGUGUCCCUGCUUCUCAGGCCUGAAUUAUGGUCCUCCUUGGUCUGCCCCAGCAGACGUUUCCAGCUUGACUGCCCACUCUUCCCCUUUGCUUGGCGAAAGUAGAAUGAAGGGCCAGGGGAAGCUCCUGCAGCCUGUGGUGGGAAGGGCCAGGGCCUGUCCAUCUGCCCAUUUCCCGUAGCACUGAGGCUUUCGGCCUCUGAUGCAGAAGACCAUGAAUGUCCAUUGAAAGAGUGAAUUGUGAAUGUCUGUGUGUGCAUUCACUGGCCUCAUGGCUAUUAGCUAUGUCAUGGGAGGGAGCUGCCAGCUUGGUUUUUGAAGACAAGGGCCAACCUAAUUUCUUUCAGUUAAAUGACAGAGACCAAGGCUUGAUAGUUGUAAAAAGACCAUUGAGGUUCAAACAUUUAACAAUAGUACUCCAAGGAGCCAGAAGAUGGAGUAUGUACCUCAAAAUUCAAGUCGAGCCAGAAUUCACACGUUUAAGUUAAAAAACCCAGACUCAAAUUAUGAGACCGGGUCUCAAGGCUUUGGGGGCCUUAUAUAGAUUCACGUUUUUAUCAAAAUACCUUUUUUUUUUUUUUUUGUCUUCCUAGGGCUGCACCCAUGGCAUAUGGAAGUUCCCAGGUUAGGGGUCCAAUCAUGCACAGCAGCAUCAGAUCCAAGCCUCAUGGCAACACUGGAUCCUUAACCCACUGAGCAAGGCUGGGGAUCAGACCUACAUCCUCAUGGAUACUAGUUGGGUUUGUUAACUGCUUAGCCAUGAUGGGAACUCCCAAAAUAUCUUUAAUUUACAGUUAUAAGGUGGUAUGAAGCUCUAAAUGCAGAUAAAACUCUUGCUCUAUAGACCAAAAUAAGAUAUUCUUUAUUUGCUAGAGCAGGAGGUGGUGAGGGUGAUAUAUGUCUGAUUUUACUCUGUGUCACUAGAGACAUGUUUAUUAUAUCUAUUAAGUGAACAUCAAAAUAAGCGAAGCUCAAGAAUUAUUUUUAAAACCAGCCAAGGAGUUCCCAUGGUGGCUCAUUCGGUUAUGAACCUGUCUAGAACUAGUAUCCAUAAGAACGAGGGCUCGAUCCCUGGUCUCCUUCAGUGGGUUAAGUGAGCUGUAGUGUAGGUUACAGGUGCGUCUCAGAUCCUACAUAACUAUGGCUGUGGUGUAGGCCAGUGGCUACAGCUCUGAUUUGACCCCUAGCCUGGGAACCUCCAUAUGCUGUAGGUGUAGACCUAAAAAACAAAACAAACAAAACCCGUAAAUAUUAGCUCAAGUACAAGUAGCUAGAAAUAGAAUUAAAAUUAUCAAAUAGUACCUACAAAGAUUAAAAGCUUCCUACUUUUUUAGAGUUGACAGUGUGGUGUCAAAUAAAUUAAUACUUACUUUUGUUUAGGUAUUUACCCAACAAUUGUUGAGAUAUUGUAUCACUAUCCGUGUAGUUUCAGACUCCAUGUAUCACCAUGUUGCUUUUAAAAAUAUGAUCAUCUCUCAACCUUAACAGAAUCACUUUGAGAUCUUAUUAAGCUCUAGAUUCAGAGUCUGGUUCAGUAGGUUUGAGGAUGAUCCUGAGAACUUGUGUUUUUGAUGGGUUCCCUGUGCAGUUUUCGUUGUAGCCGUUUGAGAGGAAGGAGCCCCCCCACCUCAGGAGACCACCAUAGGGCAGGGGCCACCCUUCAGAACCCAUUCUUCAGUCUAGAAAGUCAGAGAGGAAACUGAGGUGAGUUAGGGUCUAAAACAAAUGUUUGGCUCACAUCAAUGGAUUGUUAGCUGUAGCUGAGCAAAAGGGUUACUGCCCGGGAGGAGGGGCAGUAAGGAUUCUUCCUUCCUCUCCCUCCCGUCUAAUGUCACAUUUGGUGUUUCUAAGGCCUGGAAGAUCCUUAACCUAGAUUUUGCAGCCAGUGGGCUUUGCUGCACCGUAGUUCAACCGGCUAAAAAGUGUGAACGAAGAAAAUCUAGCCUACUGCUAGGGCAGAUGUUUUUAAUGGAGCCAGUGGUUUGCAUUGGCAAACACAUGCUGUUCCAAGAUUAUGACACUGUGACUUAGCAACAGGUAUUACAAAUACCAUCCCCUGAUGUUUGUGUGGAAUGUGCUUUUUUGUCUAAUGCCAGGAGAUGGCGUAAUGGAGCCUGCAAUUCAUAUCUCUUGCUGUCUUCUUUAGUGACCACUAAAGGUAGCAUUUUGUGUGUGGCAUUAAGACUUAGAUAAAGAUGCAGAGGUGAGCAAGGCAAAAGCUGUAUAUUUUUCUUUUUGAGCCACAUAAAUGAUUUUUGACGCCUGAUUUUUUUUCUUACUCCAACCUAAUUUGUGCUGCUUUGUAAAAUAAUUUUACUCCUUGAAUUAUUGAAUUAUCAUUGUGAGCAAUUUAAUACCCGAAUUUUAUGUUAUGUGAAAUUGUUCCCUUCAGUCCUUAAGAUAGUUUGGAAAGCAGGGAUUUUUUUGGCACUUAAAUAUAUUUUAAAAGCUUUUAUUAAAGUUUUGAAUCACAGGUUUUUUAAUAUAAAGAGAAUGCAUUUUCAUUAUAAUUUGCUAUAAAUGAUUGAAAUGUUGAGAAGAACUACUGAAUUCUUCACCUGCUUUUAGAUGGAGCGAAGACUAAAACCUUGUUAACAGACACUCAGUUGUUUGACCUUGCUGAGAAGUUGGGGAAGGAGUGGAUGAAAAUUGCCAUUGCCAACCUGAAGUUGAAGAUGAGUGAUAUUGAUGCUAUCCUGGAGAAGAAAGAAGAUGUCACCAUGAAUAAGUUUAGGAUGCUAAAGAAGUGGCAAGAAAAGGAGAAGAGUAAUGCGACAGCUCAGAAUUUAUGUAACUGCUUGAAAAACGUCGAUUCGGUUGAGGUCCAAGAUGUGCUGAAAGGUAAGUGGGAAAUUAUCUUAAUUAGUCAUUUACUUGGAAUCAAGCUGUGCCUUUGCAAAUAGCAAAUUUCUGCUAUAGAAUGUGUUGCUUAUUUAUAAACUCGGGUUCAGAGAAUUGUGCAAAUGCAGAAGGAAGAAUGUGGGCUGCUGUAUCUAAGUAAAGGUGAUUUGUGUGUGGAGUCGGUAGACAUACUCAAUUCCCAUCUCAAGGGCUGGCCGUCACAAUUUGUCACUAAGCCAAUUCUGUUGUUGUUUUUUUUAAUUUUAAAUUAUUUAUUUUUUAAAAUUAAAGUAUAGUUGACUUACGGUGUCAUGCCAGUUUUUGCUAGACAGCAAAGUGACUCAUAUAUGCGCACAUUCUUUUUUAUAUUCUUUUCUGUCAUGGUCUGUCCCAGGAGAUUGACUGUAGUUCCCUGUGCUAUGCAGUAGGACUUUGUUGUUUUUCUAUUCUACAUGUAAUAGUUUACAUAUACUCACCCCAAACCCCCAGUGCAUCCUACUUCCUCCUUCCACCCCCUUGGCAACCACAAGUCUGUUCUCCAUGUCUGUGAGUUUGUCUGUUUUGUAGAUAGGUUCAUUUGUGCCAUAUUUUAGAUUCUACAUAUAAGUGAUAUUAUAUGGUAUCCCUCUUUCUUUCUUUUCUUUUUUUUCCUUUCUUUUUUUUUUUUUUUUUUUUUUUUUUUGUCUUUUUAGGGCCACACGUGUGGCAUAUGGAAGUUCUCUGUCUAGGGGUUGAAUCAGAGCUAUAACUGCCAGUCUACGCCACAGCCACAGCAACGUCUACAUUGAGCUGUGUUUGGGACCUACACCAUAGCUCAUGGCAAUGCCAGAUCCUUAACCCACUGAGCAAGGCCUGGGAUCAAACUCGAGUCCUCAUGGUUGCUAGUCAGGUUCAUUACCGCUGAGCCACAACGGGAACUCCCCCCUUUUUUGUCUUUGUCUUUCUCUUUCUGACUUACUUCACUUAGUAUGAGAAUCUCUAGACCCAUCUAUGUUCCAUUGUGUGGUGUGUGUAUUUAUAUAUAUACACAUACCAUAUCUUAAUCCAUUCCUUUGUUGAUGGACAUUUAGGUUGCUUUCAUGUCUUAGUUAUUGUGAAUAGUGCUGCUAAGAACCUAGGGGUGCAUGCAUCUUUUUGAAUGGAAAUUUUGUCUGGAUAUAUGCCCAGGAGUGGGAUUGUGGGAUCAUAUGGUAGCUCUAUAUUUAGUUUUCUGAGGAGCCUCCAUACUGUUUUCCAUAGUAGUUGUACAAAUUUACAUUGCCACCAACAGUGAAGGGGGUUUUCCACACCCUCUCCAGCAUUUAUUAUUUGUAGACUUACUGGCGAUGGCCAUUCUGACCGGUGUGAGGUGGUACCUCAUUGUAGUUUUGAUUUGCAUUCCUCUAAUAAUUAGUGGUGUUGAGGAGCUCCUGCUAUGGCGCAGUGGGAUUGACAGAAUCUUGGGAGCACUGGGAUGCGGGUUCGAUCCAUGGCCCCACACAGUGGAUUAUGUGCAGCUGUGGCUUAGGUGGCUACUGUGGCUUGGAUCUGAUCCCUGGCCUGGGAGGUCCAUGUGCCAUGGGGUGGCCAAAAAUGAAAAAAAAAAAAAAAA